AUCAGCUUGUUGAGUGUGGUUAUGUGGUUUAUGAGGAGUUUAACCGCCUUCAUGUAUUGCAUAUCAAGCUCUUGGGUGUACUUGUCUGUGUGGUAGGUUAACAUCAAUUUCGGUCGUCAUAAAAUGAUUGGAGGAAUGUAGCUUUGGUCUCGUAUCGAAGUGUUAUAGACUCUGGUAGAUGUAACGAUUGGGAUUGAGGAUUGCAACGGAUACCCUUCGGGGCUACUCGUCUGAUCUCUGAAGGUUGCUCCGGUACCGAAAGCGUGCUUACGGUCAUCGAAAGUGAUUUUCAAAAGGUUAGAACGGGUUAAAUUCGUUAAGGAUGUUGACGUAAUGGUUUU
rnacentral:rRNA from 1 species